AAUUCUUCCUCCAAUCCGGACGAAAAAUUCGCCGGAUUUGGGCGUGGGGAGCGCCAACGAGUGGGGAUGCUCUUAUGAGGGCGGAGGGUGGUGGUCUUGGUUUCCUAUUUCUGUCAGGUUAUGACGCCCAAUUAUGGAACUGUAAGAAAGAUUCUGAUGGUGUUGUUUCAUGGGCACUGACAAGAAAUAUUCAAUUGGGCAACCUACUUUCCCUCAAACCACGGAAGGAUAGACUGUCCCUAGUGAUAAAAGGGUUCGGUGAGCACAAUAAUGUGCUGUUUCUAGCAACACCUAUCGGCGAUUUCAUGGUUCAGCUUGAGUCUAUGCAGUUCAAGAAACUCUCUGAAGCCAACUUCGUGACUGUUUAUCAUCCAUUUGAAAGUGUCUAUACUGCAGAAACAGGCAGUGGCAGUGAACACGAUGGAGAUGGACUUUUGCACAAUGCAUAAGAUGUUUGUCUGGUCAGAUGUGCUAUUGUGUUGUAUUGGUUGAACAGGAUAUCUAGAGUCACAUUCCGGCUGCUGAGAUGCAGAAAUGGUUUGCUUGUUGCAGGUUCUUCCAUGUUGUGUAGCAUGCACCGGUCAGUGGUGAAGUGGAUUUGUACUUGUAGAAAAUAAUCAGUUAUUUUGUUAACUAUUAUGUCAAUUCUGCAGUGAUUAGUGAACUUGCACGAAGAUGCGACGACUUGCUUCGAUUAAUCUGUGCCUUUCAGUUCGUCUUGUUUUCAA